GGGUUGUGAGGUUAAGCGACUAAGCGUACACGGUGGAUGCCCUGGCAGUCAGAGGCGAUGAAGGACGUGCUAAUCUGCGAUAAGCGUCGGUAAGGUGAUAUGAACCGUUAUAACCGGCGAUUUCCGAAUGGGGAAACCCAGUGUGAUUCGUCACACUAUCAUUAACUGAAUCCAUAGGUUAAUGAGGCGAACCGGGGGAACUGAAACAUCUAAGUACCCCGAGGAAAAGAAAUCAACCGAGAUUCCCCCAGUAGCGGCGAGCGAACGGGGAGGAGCCCAGAGCCUGAAUCAGUGUGUGUGUUAGUGGAAGCGUCUGGAAAGGCGCGCGAUACAGGGUGACAGCCCCGUACACAAAAAUGCACAUGCUGUGAGCUCGAUGAGUAGGGCGGGACACGUGGUAUCCUGUCUGAAUAUGGGGGGACCAUCCUCCAAGGCUAAAUACUCCUGACUGACCGAUAGUGAACCAGUACCGUGAGGGAAAGGCGAAAAGAACCCCGGCGAGGGGAGUGAAAAAGAACCUGAAACCGUGUACGUACAAGCAGUGGGAGCACGCUUAGGCGUGUGACUGCGUACCUUUUGUAUAAUGGGUCAGCGACUUAUAUUCUGUAGCAAGGUUAACCGAAUAGGGGAGCCGAAGGGAAACCGAGUCUUAACUGGGCGUUAAGUUGCAGGGUAUAGACCCGAAACCCGGUGAUCUAGCCAUGGGCAGGUUGAAGGUUGGGUAACACUAACUGGAGGACCGAACCGACUAAUGUUGAAAAAUUAGCGGAUGACUUGUGGCUGGGGGUGAAAGGCCAAUCAAACCGGGAGAUAGCUGGUUCUCCCCGAAAGCUAUUUAGGUAGCGCCUCGUGAAUUCAUCUCCGGGGGUAGAGCACUGUUUCGGCAAGGGGGUCAUCCCGACUUACCAACCCGAUGCAAACUGCGAAUACCGGAGAAUGUUAUCACGGGAGACACACGGCGGGUGCUAACGUCCGUCGUGAAGAGGGAAAUAACCCAGACCGCCAGCUAAGGUCCCAAAGUCAUGGUUAAGUGGGAAACGAUGUGGGAAGGCCCAGACAGCCAGGAUGUUGGCUUAGAAGCAGCCAUCAUUUAAAGAAAGCGUAAUAGCUCACUGGUCGAGUCGGCCUGCGCGGAAGAUGUAACGGGGCUAAACCAUGCACCGAAGCUGCGGCAGCGACGCUGAUGCGUUGUUGGGUAGGGGAGCGUUCUGUAAGCCUGUGAAGGUGUGCUGUGAGGCAUGCUGGAGGUAUCAGAAGUGCGAAUGCUGACAUAAGUAACGAUAAAGCGGGUGAAAAGCCCGCUCGCCGGAAGACCAAGGGUUCCUGUCCAACGUUAAUCGGGGCAGGGUGAGUCGACCCCUAAGGCGAGGCCGAAAGGCGUAGUCGAUGGGAAACAGGUUAAUAUUCCUGUACUUGGUGUUACUGCGAAGGGGGGACGGAGAAGGCUAUGUUGGCCGGGCGACGGUUGUCCCGGUUUAAGCGUGUAGGCUGGUUUUCCAGGCAAAUCCGGAAAAUCAAGGCUGAGGCGUGAUGACGAGGCACUACGGUGCUGAAGCAACAAAUGCCCUGCUUCCAGGAAAAGCCUCUAAGCAUCAGGUAACAUCAAAUCGUACCCCAAACCGACACAGGUGGUCAGGUAGAGAAUACCAAGGCGCUUGAGAGAACUCGGGUGAAGGAACUAGGCAAAAUGGUGCCGUAACUUCGGGAGAAGGCACGCUGAUAUGUAGGUGAAGUCCCUCGCGGAUGGAGCUGAAAUCAGUCGAAGAUACCAGCUGGCUGCAACUGUUUAUUAAAAACACAGCACUGUGCAAACACGAAAGUGGACGUAUACGGUGUGACGCCUGCCCGGUGCCGGAAGGUUAAUUGAUGGGGUCAGCGCAAGCGAAGCUCUUGAUCGAAGCCCCGGUAAACGGCGGCCGUAACUAUAACGGUCCUAAGGUAGCGAAAUUCCUUGUCGGGUAAGUUCCGACCUGCACGAAUGGCGUAAUGAUGGCCAGGCUGUCUCCACCCGAGACUCAGUGAAAUUGAACUCGCUGUGAAGAUGCAGUGUACCCGCGGCAAGACGGAAAGACCCCGUGAACCUUUACUAUAGCUUGACACUGAACAUUGAGCCUUGAUGUGUAGGAUAGGUGGGAGGCUUUGAAGUGUGGACGCCAGUCUGCAUGGAGCCGACCUUGAAAUACCACCCUUUAAUGUUUGAUGUUCUAACGUUGACCCGUGAUCCGGGUUGCGGACAGUGUCUGGUGGGUAGUUUGACUGGGGCGGUCUCCUCCUAAAGAGUAACGGAGGAGCACGAAGGUUGGCUAAUCCUGGUCGGACAUCAGGAGGUUAGUGCAAUGGCAUAAGCCAGCUUGACUGCGAGCGUGACGGCGCGAGCAGGUGCGAAAGCAGGUCAUAGUGAUCCGGUGGUUCUGAAUGGAAGGGCCAUCGCUCAACGGAUAAAAGGUACUCCGGGGAUAACAGGCUGAUACCGCCCAAGAGUUCAUAUCGACGGCGGUGUUUGGCACCUCGAUGUCGGCUCAUCACAUCCUGGGGCUGAAGUAGGUCCCAAGGGUAUGGCUGUUCGCCAUUUAAAGUGGUACGCGAGCUGGGUUUAGAACGUCGUGAGACAGUUCGGUCCCUAUCUGCCGUGGGCGCUGGAGAACUGAGGGGGGCUGCUCCUAGUACGAGAGGACCGGAGUGGACGCAUCACUGGUGUUCGGGUUGUCAUGCCAAUGGCACUGCCCGGUAGCUAAAUGCGGAAGAGAUAAGUGCUGAAAGCAUCUAAGCACGAAACUUGCCCCGAGAUGAGUUCUCCCUGACUCCUUGAGAGUCCUGAAGGAACGUUGAAGACGACGACGUUGAUAGGCCGGGUGUGUAAGCGCAGCGAUGCGUUGAGCUAACCGGUACUAAUGAACCGUGAGGCUUAACCUUACAACGCCGAAGGUGUUU
rnacentral:rRNA from 1 species